rnacentral:lncRNA from 1 species
GGGGAAGAGCCAGACCAACUUGUAGAUAAGAAAAACAUAUGCCAAUAAAUCAAGGUUUCCCAAACCGUCAAAUAAUCUGUUUUGUCUUGCGUCACAGAGAAGGAGAUGAAGAUAAUUGAGCUUGUUAACUUGAGAUACUUGGAAUUUUCAACCAGUUUCUUACCACCCAUAAAAUCAUGUUAAACUACCUUCACUCGUUUGUAUUCCGAUGCAACAGCAGUCAGAAGUGGAUAUGAAUGCCACAGCUGUGCAUGGAACAUCUGCUCCCCCAAAGCAGUAAUAAAAGCAGCCUGUUUUUCUAGGAAGACAUCCCUCUGAGAGGAAGAGUCAAACCGGAGGUCUAAUCCUGAGCAUUUACUGCGAGCAGUGAGAGGAUAUAAAAGGGCUGAGACCUUGCAGAAGCAGAAGGUGAAGGAGCGCAGCAUGACCUGAAAUAUCAGCUCCAGGCAAGAGGCCCUUUGUUGAAGUUGGAGCUGACUUGUGCGGGAAGACCUACAUGAAGGGAAUGACUGAUUGGACUGAUAAAGACUUACUCUUGGAUCGCACUGGUGGAUUAUGUUGGAUGAAGCAUCACCCUUUGAUGUGCAGAUACACAAAAUGUUACAGAUCAUGACUUUGAAGCUCAGUUUUGAUUCAAUAAGAAAGCAAACAGCCACAUAGGCUGGAUUUUAAUUAUCCCUGGGGGAUUCAAAUGUUACGUAAUAUGUGUUCAAGCUAUGAAAACCACAUAUUUGGCUGUUUGAAGAACAUUUUAAAAGAUAACAUGCAGAUGAAGGAUUAGAAACUUAGGCCUUAAUCUCAAGUACUGCACAUUUUGAAAAAUCAGCAAUGAGGGGAACAUCUAAAAGACUCAGAGAGUGAGCAAUAUGUUAAGAAUAAACUUCUUAUUGAUAUCAAAUAAAUG